rnacentral:rRNA from 1 species
CUCCCGGGCGGGUCGGCGCCCGCCGGAGGAUAAGCGAACUCUGAUGUAACGACGUUUCUUCUGAGUGGUACAAGCAAAUAAUCAAAACUUUUAACAACGGAUCUCUUGGUUCUGGCAUCGAUGAAGAACGCAGCGAAAUGCGAUAAGUAAUGUGAAUUGCAGAAUUCAGUGAAUCAUCGAAUCUUUGAACGCACAUUGCGCCCGCCAGCAUUCUGGCGGGCAUGCCUGUUCGAGCGUCAUUUCAACCCUCAAGCUCUGCUUGGUGUUGGGGCCCUACAGCUGAUGUAGGCCCUCAAAGGUAGUGGCGGACCCUCCCGGAGCCUCCUUUGCGUAGUAACUUUACGUCUCGCACUGGGAUCCGGAGGGACUCUUGCCGUAAAACCCCCAAUUCUCCAAAGGUUGACCUCGGAUCAGGUAGGAAUACCCGCUGAACUUAAGCAUAUCAAUAACGGAG